UACAGAGGGUGCAAGCGUUGUUCGGAAUUAUGGUGCGUAAAGCGCGUGUAGGCGGCGUCGUUAGUCGGAUGUGAAAGCCCUCGGCUCAACCGAGGAAGUGCAUCCGAUACUGCGAUGCUUGAGUGUUGGAGGGGGUGGCGGAAUUCCCGGUGUAGAGGUGAAAUUCGUAGAUAUCGGGAGGAACACCUGUGGCGAAGGCGGCCACCUGGACAACAACUGACGCUGAGCACGCGAAAGCGUGGGUAGCAAACAGG
rnacentral:rRNA from 1 species